UCCCUGGUGACUCAGCUGGUAAAGAAUCCACCUGCAAUGUGGGAGACCUGGGUUCGAUCCCCAGGUUGGGAA
rnacentral:tRNA from 1 species